rnacentral:rRNA from 1 species
GAUGAACGCUGGCGGCGUGCCUAAUACAUGCGAGUCGAGCGAACGGACGAGAAGCUUGCUUCUCUGAUGUUAGCGGCGGACGGGUGAGUAACACGUGGAUAACCUACCUAUAAGACUGGGAUAACUUCGGGAAACCGGAGCUAAUACCGGAUAAUAUUUUGAACCGCAUGGUUCAAAAGUGAAAGACGGUCUUGCUGUCACUUAUAGAUGGAUCCGCGCUGCAUUAGCUAGUUGGUAAGGUAACGGCUUACCAAGGCAACGAUGCAUAGCCGACCUGAGAGGGUGAUCGGCCACACUGGAACUGAGACACGGUCCAGACUCCUACGGGAGGCAGCAGUAGGGAAUCUUCCGCAAUGGGCGAAAGCCUGACGGAGCAACGCCGCGUGAGUGAUGAAGGUCUUCGGAUCGUAAAACUCUGUUAUUAGGGAAGAACAUAUGUGUAAGUAACUGUGCACAGCUUGACGGUACCUAAUCAGAAAGCCACGGCUAACUACGUG